AUGGAGCUGAGCGAUUCCGAGAAUUUUGAUCGUUAUGGUUGCUGUGAUAUUCUGAUGCGUGUGAUGUUGAUGAUGUAUGAAGAAAUUUGGUUAUAUAGUGAUGGAGUUUGUUACCGAUUGAAGAAUCAUGGCCCUUGGAUUCAAGUAGUUUGUUAUAAAAUUAGAUGUAGGUUUGCUUCAACGAUGUGGCAUGGUGAUUAA